UUCUGAGACAACUGCAAAGAAUUAUCGAUCUAUCAUAUUCCGUCCCAAAUGUUUCAAGGAAAUUCUUUUGGACAAGAUCGGAUUUAGAAAGGUGGAGGAAGUCACUUCAGCCUUGACAGGCAGCAAAGUUGGAUUUGAUAGGCCAAUUUUUGCAUACCACAAAUGACUAACCCGUUGAAAGCUGCUCUAUAAAAUAUUACAUUUGUGCGAUACGGUUGGAAGCAGCAUGUUUGACGACCUGAAUGCAAAUAUUAGUGGGCUUACAAAUUUGAGGGGCAUUUCUACUGCAAUUUUGUAUUUUUGGCCGGGGAGAUUAUUCGAAAUUUCUGUUUACACUGCUAAUUUAUGCGCAAAAAGUGUAAAUUUAUCCUUCUCCACCCACAUCAAUUUGAUGGACCUGAUAAAUUAGUAUGAUGUAAAGAAUGUCCGUAUGUUUCUGAGGUUUGGCAAAUCUGAAUGUUAACAGAAGAUUAACAGAAGAGUGAAGCAGAGGCUUCCGUGCUCAAUUGAAUGAAACCUAAGAAAUUAUGUUACAGAAGC
rnacentral:misc_RNA from 1 species